UGAUUUUUUUCUUCAAUUUUAAAAGGCCCAUCUCAAGCACCGACCUGAUAGAAAGGGCAAUAAACGCCAGAAAACAAAAACAAAAAAAUAAGUAAAUGAUCCAUUGAAGCAAAAAAGACCUUUAGUAGCAUUCUUUCUGUUCAUAUCAGAUGUUAAGAAGAAGGGGACGACUGGAAACAUAAUCAAGGCCGGGCAUUGCACUGGAUGACAGAAAAACAAACAAGUACGUCUCUAAGAAUCCUGAAAUUUGGGACAUGCUGUCUUCAGAAUCCUGUUGGUCAACCGUUACUACGUGAACCACCUAGAGACUUGGGAGGAUUAUAUGAAGGGGACGACGCAAGAUCAAAUUUGUCUCAGACACAUUUGAAAGUAUAAUGCGGCAGAUGCGACCGGCCAUGGAUCUUUGAAUGGAAUAGAGAUUUGAGACCUUUCUGACAAUUCCGGGAAAUGAGAGACAUGUAGGGAGACGCAAAAAACAAUGGUCGAUGGUGAUGGUUACGAGAUAUGCAAAGAUAAUGGUGAAUGGAAUUGAUCGAGGGUGAACUAAAAAUUUCUUACUUCAUUUUCGUUUUGUUGUUUUUCUUUCAUUUCCAAUUACUGGUAAUUUGAUCUUCUUCUUGCAGGUGCAAGUGGAAUUGGUUUGUAGACGUAAAAAUGGACUGAAAAGACAUGUAUAUGGUGUGUUCGCCUACAAGUGCAACGAAGUUAUUAGAGAUUUUCUACAAAAUCCAUAAUCAUAGUUAGUUUUUGGGUGUUGUGGCCUGUAUGUAAUUUAAGCAAAACGUUUUUCUGUGUUCAUACGUUCAGUUGAUUGUAUUCCUAAAGCUUUUGUGGACUCCAAAAUGUGGUGUUUUUGGAGUUGGGAGGGAUAGGUGAAUACUUUGUUUUACUAUGAAUAUUGUGAACCCUAUUUUUUUUUU